rnacentral:rRNA from 1 species
AUGGGCAGCCAUUACAGGUUCAGACUGUCCCAUCUCGUGCCAAACUCUUGGUUCUACAAGCUGAGGGACAUGAAGAGACCCAGACCGCCAAGCCAACCAAGAAGCUCUACAGCUACAAGAACACCAAGGAGAUCAUCAUCAAGCCACUACUACUGCCAUGGAGCCAGCACCCCAAAACCUCUUCCAUUACCCCCUCACCAAUCCUACUCCUCCUACUUACAAGCAAAGAAAAUGCCACCGGAGAAGCUGCGUCUCUCUCCUCUCUGCCUCAGCCCAAGGGCAACAAGCAUCCGAUUCCCCAACGAUCGUCAUCAGUCACCAUCAUCGAGAAGUGCCGCCGCCGCCGUCGUCGACGAUUUUCAAGGCUUGCAACUACGUCCAAUUCGCACAAGGCCAGCGCCGAUCGCGUCGAGAAGUGCGCACCACAGCACGACCGCGAGCAGUACGUGCCCGAGCUCGCCGAGGCUCAGGAGCAGAAGGCUUCGUCUAUCCAGCAGUGGCUGUGGCAGAGUUAGCGCCAGGUGCACUGCUCGCCGGAGAAGCGCGAGGAGGAGCAUCGCCGUCGUGGUGGCGUCGACGGACCCGCACAAGGACUUCAGGGAGAGCAUGGUGGAGAUGAUCGUCGGGACCGACAUGCGUGGAGCAGAGGCUCUGAGGGACCUCCUUGAUUGCUAUCUGUCGUUCAACUCGAGGGAGUACCAUGGAGUAAUCACGGAGGUGUUCAGGGGAAUCUGGCUCCAGAUUAUCCGUGACGGUGUUGAGAUAUGA